rnacentral:lncRNA from 1 species
AAACUGAAUUAGGGUUUGUAGAGUGUGUUUGACAAAAGAAACUAUGGCAGAUCUUUAACAAAAACCCCGAAACAAGAAAAUCUAAAAGUACAAAUUGGCCAACCAAAAGAUGGGUUUGUGGCUAAAAAAGAAAUCGCCAACCAAAAGACGGGUUUGUGGCUAAAAAAGAAAUUGGUGAUGGUGGGUCUGUGAAACGGGAUCAAAACUAUCAUCAAUAUGCAAGAAUGGUUGUGAUAUAAAAGAUGGCAAAUUACUUGGUUGUGGGUCAAAAGGGAACAAAAUUGGCUGGCAGAGGAAGAAAAGGAUUUGAGUAACAGGUAUUAUCAUUCUUACCCAUAUCAAUGCAUUCAGUAAACUAAUCUAUUUCCACAAGUAAAUUGGCUUUACUGUAAAGCCUGCCUAUAGAUUACUAUAUUAGAUUAACAAAACAUUGAUUGAUGAACAAGUACUUAGAAAAUAAAGACAGUAGAACUUGACCCAGUAGAGAAAGUUAUGAGAACUUAACUACCGAAAUUUUGACCAAUACAGGACAUCUUUAUAGAAGACAACCUGAUUUCGACCAAUCAGAGAAGAGCAGGUGAAUACAGAACACACAAGUUAGAUUUAAUUAUGUUUCAAUGCUCAUUUAAAUUAUCAAAAGAAUGUGCACUCCAGUUACUGCAUUUCUGCAAGACUUUGUUUGAAAUCUUUUGUUAGGUUGUGAAUGGAAUUGAGCAAAUUACUAGCAAGUUAAAACAUAGAAGGGGAGUUUUUAAAG